UCAAACUUGGUCAUUUAGAGGAAGUAAAAGUCGUAACAAGGUUUCCGUAGGUGAACCUGCGGAAGGAUCAUUAACAAAUCUUACCUGUGUAGGGUCUUGGUCUCUGGAGAGAGGGAGGGAAAGAGCGUUGCCGUUGCCUUUGUGCUGUGCUGCUUACUUUUAGUAGUGUAGUGGUGGUUAUGGCGACGCUCCGCCCCACUGGGUCUGGAGAUCAGAUCACACAUUGACUCGGGCUUUGGCUUGGCUGGCUGUAAAAAAGCUGGCUGGCCGAGUCUUGAGACAUUCACGCUUGUUGUGUUUGACUGAGUUUAUAUAAUGUAUGUGGCUAAAGAUGACAACUUUUAACAAUGGAUCUCUUGGCUCUUGCAUCGAUGAAGAACGCAGC
rnacentral:misc_RNA from 1 species